rnacentral:rRNA from 1 species
AGGUUACUGCUAUCGGUGUUCGCCUAAGCCAUGCGAGUCAUAUGUUCGUAAGAACAUGGCGUACUGCUCAGUAACACGUGGAUAACCUGCCCUUGGGCCGGCAUAACCCCGGGAAACUGGGGAUAAUUCCGGAUAACGCACAUAUGCUGGAAUGCUUUAUGCGUAAAAUGGAUUCGUCUGCCCAAGGAUGGGUCUGCGGCCUAUCAGGUAGUAGUGGGUGUAAUGUACCUACUAGCCUACGACGGGUACGGGUUGUGAGAGCAAGAGCCCGGAGAUGGAUUCUGAGACAUGAAUCCAGGCCCUACGGGGCGCAGCAGGCGCGAAAACUUUACAAUGCGGGAAACCGUGAUAAGGGGACACCGAGUGCCAGCAUCCUAUGCUGGCUGUCCGGGUGUGUAAAAUACACCUGUUAGCAAGGGCCGGGCAAGACCGGUGCCAGCCGCCGCGGUAACACCGGCGGCCCGAGUGGUGAUCGUGAUUAUUGGGUCUAAAGGGUCCGUAGCCGGUUUGGUCAGUCCUCCGGGAAAUCUGACAGCUUAACUGUUAGGCUUUCGGAGGAUACUGCCAGACUUGGAACCGGGAGAGGUAAGAGGUACUACAGGGGUAGGAGUGAAAUCUUGUAAUCCCUGUGGGACCACCUGUGGCGAAGGCGUCUUACCAGAACGGGUUCGACGGUGAGGGACGAAAGCUGGGGGCACGAACCGGAUUAGAUACCCGGGUAGUCCCAGCCGUAAACGAUGCUCGCUAGGUGUCAGGCAUGGCGCGACCGUGUCUGGUGCCGCAGGGAAGCCGUGAAGCGAGCCACCUGGGAAGUACGGCCGCAAGGCUGAAACUUAA